UGCAUAUCAGAUCCAUGAUAAGACAGCCAC
rnacentral:piRNA from 1 species